CAGAGUUCAUGCCCGUCCGGGUAGAUCUCCCACCCUGUGUUAUUAUUACCUUGUUGCUUUGGCGGGCCGUUAGGCUCUAGCUCGACUACCGGCUUCGGUUGGUAAGCGCCCGCCAGAGGAAUCUAAACUCUGAAUAUUAGUGUUGUCUGAGUACUAUAUAAUAGUUA
rnacentral:misc_RNA from 1 species